UGGGGAAUAUUGCGCAAUGGGCGAAAGCCUGACGCAGCGACGUCGCGUGAGGGAUGAAGGUUUUCGGAUCGUAAACCUCUGUCAGAAGGGAAGAAACCGCACUGUGCUAAUCAGCAGUGCCUUGACGGUACCUUCAAAGGAAGCACCGGCUAACUCCGUGCCAGCAGCCGCGGUAAUACGGAGGGUGCAAGCGUUAAUCGGAAUUACUGGGCGUAAAGCGCACGUAGGCUGCUUUGUAAGUCAGGGGUGAAAUCCCACGGCUCAACCGUGGAACUGCCUUUGAUACUGCUUAGCUUGAAUCCGGGAGAGGGUGGCGGAAUUCCAGGUGUAGGAGUGAAAUCCGUAGAUAUCUGGAGGAACAUCAGUGGCGAAGGCGGCCACCUGGACCGGUAUUGACGCUGAGGUGCGAAAGCGUGGGGAGCAAACAGG
rnacentral:rRNA from 1 species